CUGGCUCAGGACGAACGCUGGCGGCGUGCCUAAUACAUGCAAGUCGAGCGGACAGAAGGGAGCUUGCUCCCGGAUGUUAGCGGCGGACGGGUGAGUAACACGUGGGUAACCUGCCUGUAAGACUGGGAUAACUCCGGGAAACCGGAGCUAAUACCGGAUAGUUCCUUGAACCGCAUGGUUCAAGGAUGAAAGACGGUUUCGGCUGUCACUUACAGAUGGACCCGCGGCGCAUUAGCUAGUUGGUGGGGUAAUGGCUCACCAAGGCGACGAUGCGUAGCCGACCUGAGAGGGUGAUCGGCCACACUGGGACUGAGACACGGCCCAGACUCCUACGGGAGGCAGCAGUAGGGAAUCUUCCGCAAUGGACGAAAGUCUGACGGAGCAACGCCGCGUGAGUGAUGAAGGUUUUCGGAUCGUAAAGCUCUGUUGUUAGGGAAG
rnacentral:rRNA from 1 species